rnacentral:rRNA from 1 species
AUUGAACGCUAGCGGCAGGCUUUACACAUGCAAGUCGAACGAGUGGCGGACGGGUGAGUAAUAUAUCGUAACCUGCCUGAUGGCGGGGGAUAACUACUAGCAAGUGUUGCUAAUACCGCAUACUAUAGGCUCGGCCCAUCGCGUAUUAGCUAGUUGGUGGGGUAAAGGAUCACAAAGGCGACGAUCCGUAUAUGGGUUGAGAGGACGACAAGCCACACUGGGACUGAGACACGGCCCAGACUCCUACGGGAGGCAGCAGUGGGGAAUAUUGGACAAUGGGUGAAACCCUGAUGCAGCCAUGCCGCGUGUAUGAGAAGGCCUUCGGGUUGUAAAGUACUUUUGGCAGAGAGGCGUUAUCUGUAGAAUAAGCACCGGCGAACUACGUGCCAGCAGCCGCGGUAAUAC